AACGAACGCUGGCGGCAUGCCUAACACAUGCAAGUCGAACGAGACCUUCGGGACUAGUGUCCCACGGGUGCGUAACGCGUGGGAACCUGAACUUAGGUUCGGAAUAACUACCCGAAAGGGAUGCUAAUACCGGAUAAUGUCUUCUGACCAAAGAUUUAUCGCCUUUGGUUGUGCCCGCGUUGGAUUAGCUAUUUGGUAGGGUAAAAGCUUACCAAGGCGACGAUCCAUAACUGGUCUGAGAGGAUGAUCAGCCACACUGGGACUGAGACACGGCCCAGACUCCUCCGGGAGGUAGGAAUGGGGAACAUUGUACCAUGGGCGAAGUCAUGAUCCAGCUCUGCCGCUUGAGUGAUGAAGGCCUUAGGGUUGUAAUGCUCUUGUACCUGUGAUCAUAAUGACAGUACCGGGUCAGUAAGCCACGGCUAACUCCGUG
rnacentral:rRNA from 1 species